CUACGGGUCGCAGCAGUGGGGAAUAUUGCGCAAUGGGCGAAAGCCUGACGCAGCAACGCCGUGUGAGGGAUGAAGGCUUUCGGGUCGUAAACCUCUGUCAGAAGGGAAGAACGGGUAUUGGUCUAAUAGGCCAUUAUUUUGACGGUACCUUCAGAGGAAGCACCGGCUAACUCCGUGCCAGCAGCCGCGGUAAUACGGAGGGUGCAAGCGUUAUUCGGAAUUACUGGGCGUAAAGCGCACGUAGGCCGCUUUGUAAGUCAGGGGUGAAAUCCCACGGCUCAACCGUGGAACUGCCUUUGAAACUGCAGAGCUUGAAUCCUGGAGAGGGUGGCGGAAUUCCUGGUGUAGGAGUGAAAUCCGUAGAUAUCAGGAGGAACACCGGUGGCGAAGGCGGCCACCUGGACAGGUAUUGACGCUGAGGUGCGAAAGUGUGGGGAGCAAACAGGAUUAGAUACCCUAGUAGUC
rnacentral:rRNA from 1 species